rnacentral:rRNA from 1 species
AUUGAACGCUGGCGGAAUGCUUUACACAUGCAAGUCGAACGGCAGCACGGACUUCGUUCUGGUGGCGAGUGGCGAACGGGUGAGUAAUGUAUCGGAACGUGCCCAGUCGUGGGGGAUAACGUAGUGAAAGUUGCGCUAAUACCGCAUACGAUCUGAGGAUGAAAGCGGGGGACCGUAAGGCCUCGCGCGAUCGGAGCGGCCGAUGUCAGAUUAGGUAGUUGGUGGGGUAAAGGCUCACCAAGCCAACGAUCUGUAGCUGGUCUGAGAGGACGACCAGCCACACUGGGAGUGAGACACGGCCCAGACUCCUACGGGAGGCAGCAGUGGGGAAUUUUGGACAAUGGGCGAAAGCCUGAUCCAGCAAUGCCGCGUGCAGGAAGAAGGCCUUCGGGUUGUAAACUGCUUUUGUACGGAGCGAAAAGGUCUCCUCUAAUACAGGGGGCUCAUGACGGUACCGUAAGAAUAAGCACCGGCUAACUACGUGCCAGCCGCCGCAGUAA